rnacentral:rRNA from 1 species
CAGCCGCCACGGUAAAACGUAGGGUGCAAGCGUUAAUCGGAAUUACUGGGCGUAAAGCGUGCGCAGGCGGUUUGUUAAGACAGAUGUGAAAUCCCCGGGCUCAACCUGGGAACUGCAUUUGUGACUGGCAAGCUAGAGUGUGGCAGAGGGGGGUGGAAUUCCGCGUGUAGCAGUGAAAUGCGUAGAUAUGCGGAGGAACACCGAUGGCGAAGGCAGCCCCCUGGGCCAACACUGACGCUCAUGCACGAAAGCGUGGGGAGCAAACAGGAUUAGAUACCCGAGUAGUCCCUGUCUCUUAUAC